rnacentral:rRNA from 1 species
GAUGAACGCUAGCGGCAGGCUUAAUACAUGCAAGUCGUGGGGCAGCAUGAAGUAGCAAUACUUUGAUGGCGACCGGCAAACGGGUGCGGAACACGUACACAACCUUCCUUUUAGUGGGGAAUAGCCCAGAGAAAUUUGGAUUAAUACCCCGUAACAUAGCGAUGUGGCAUCACAUUGCUAUUAUAGCUUCGGCGCUAGAUGAUGGGUGUGCGUAUGAUUAGAUAGUUGGCGAGGUAACGGCUCACCAAGUCUACGAUCAUUAGCUGAUGUGAGGGCAUGAUCAGCCACACGGGCACUGAGACACGGGCCCGAGUCCUACGGGAGGCAGCAGUAAGGAAUAUUGGUCAAUGGACGAAAGUCUGAACCAGCCAUGCCGCGUGAAGGAUUAAGGUCCUCUGGAUUGUAAACUUCUUUUAUAUGGGACGAAAAAAGGUCUUUCUAGAUCACUUGACGGUACCAUAUGAAUAAGCACCGGCUAACUCCGUGCCAGCCGCCGCAGUAAAAC